GACGAACGUUGGCGGCGUGCUUAACACAUGCAAGUCGAACGGAAAGGCCCUGCUUUUGUGGGGUGCUCGAGUGGCGAACGGGUGAGUAACACGUGAGUAACCUGCCCUUGACUUUGGGAUAACUUCAGGAAACUGGGGCUAAUACCGGAUAGGAGCUCCUGCUGCAUGGUGGGGGUUGGAAAGUUUCGGCGGUUGGGGAUGGACUCGCGGCUUAUCAGCUUGUUGGUGGGGUAGUGGCUUACCAAGGCUUUGACGGGUAGCCGGCCUGAGAGGGUGACCGGCCACAUUGGGACUGAGAUACGGCCCAGACUCCUACGGGAGGCAGCAGUGGGGAAUAUUGCACAAUGGGCGGAAGCCUGAUGCAGCAACGCCGCGUGCGGGAUGACGGCCUUCGGGUUGUAAACCGCUUUCGCCUGUGACGAAGCGUGAGUGACGGUAAUGGGUAAAGAAGCACCGGCUAACUACGUGCCAGCAGCCGCGGUGAUACGUAGGGUGCGAGCGUUGUCCGGAUUUAUUGGGCGUAAAGGGCUCGUAGGUGGUUGAUCGCGUCGGAAGUGUAAUCUUGGGGCUUAACCCUGAGCGUGCUUUCGAUACGGGUUGACUUGAGGAAGGUAGGGGAGAAUGGAAUUCCUGGUGGAGCGGUGGAAUGCGCAGAUAUCAGGAGGAACACCAGUGGCGAAGGGCGGUUCUCUGGGCCUUUCCUGACGCUGAGGAGCGAAAGCGUGGGGAGCGAACAGGCUUAGAUACCCUGGUAGUCCACGCUGUAAACGGUGGGUACUAGGUGUGGGGUCCAUUCCACGGGUUCCGUGCCGUAGCUAACGCUUUAAGUACCCCGCCUGGGGAGUACGGCCGCAAGGCUAAAACUCAAAGGAAUUGACGGGGCCCCGCACAAGCGGCGGAGCAUGCGGAUUAAUUCGAUGCAACGCGUAGAACCUUACCUGGGUUUGACAUGGAUCGGGAGUGCUCAGAGAUGGGUGUGCCUCUUUUGGGGUCGGUUCACAGGUGGUGCAUGCCUGUCGUCAGCUCGUGUCGUGAGAUGUUGGGUUAAGUCCCGCAACGAGCGCAACCCUUGUUCACUGUUGCCAGCACGUUAUGGUGGGGACUCAGUGGAGACCGCCGGGGUCAACUCGGAGGAAGGUGGGGAUGACGUCAAGUCCUCAUGCCCCUUAUGUCCAGGGCUUCACGCAUGCUACAAUGGCUGGUACAGAGAGUGGCGAGCCUGUGAGGGUGAGCGAAUCUCGGAAAGCCGGUCUCAGUUCGGAUUGGGGUCUGCAAUUCGACCUCAUGAAGUCGGAGUCGCUAGUAAUCGCAGAUCAGCAACGCUGCGGUGAAUACGUUCCCGGG
rnacentral:rRNA from 1 species